rnacentral:tRNA from 1 species
UCCCUGGUGGUCCAGUGGUAAAGAAUCUGCCUUGCAAUGCAGGGGACACAGGUUUGAUUCCUGGCUGGGGAA